AGAACCUGUCUUAGUGACAACAACAAAAGUCACUAUGGUGUCCGUGUCUUCAGCAGCAGUGUAGGGAAACAUCCUGUCCAUCGUGGGAUGAGCAGAUCAGAAUGUGGGGCCCAGACACCUGUCCUGUGCAGCCUUGUCAUUUUGACAUACCCUAAGGUCAUCUAAAAGGAGAGUCUCAGGCUUCUGUUCAUCAUGGAAGAAGUACGUCUGGAGCGGUUUGUCAAGGUGGACAGGAAGGGCCGAAGAGAUACAGCCUCCAAGAACACGCCCCAGGCAUUCUCUUCCACCAAUCAGGCCCUGCCUCUCAGAAGUCCCUUCAAACUUUUGAGUCCAUCCAUGGGUUAAAAUGCCAAUCAGUUCAGAGUCCUCAACACCUAGCCAGCUCUGGAAACUCCCUCAGGGCCACACCCCAAGAGUGUUGGGAUUAAAGGCGUGCGCCACCAUGCCCGGCUCUACAUCUUUUUAUAAAAGAGAAUUGCAUUCCCUCGGAUUCUGGCAUGUGGUGUGGUUCCGUGGGAUGCUUCCAGCAACCAGCAUUCAGCAGAUGUGAGGAUGGUCUCACUUUCAGAAGGGACCACUCCAUCAGAAGAUGGCGAUUCAGAUACCAGGGCAUCACAAAGCCUCUCUGGCUCCAGGUGCCAGCAGAUCCUCCCUCCCUCGGCUCUCUUUUCUCUCCUCCCUCCCUCCUGUUGAGAUCUGUGAAAAAGCAAGUCACUCAGGUUGUGUUGAAAUGAAAUAGAAGGCACAA